rnacentral:rRNA from 1 species
GUAGGGAAUAUUGGGCAAUGGCCGAGAGGCUGACCCAGCCAUGCCGCGUGCCGGAUGAAGGCUUUCUGAGUCGUAAACGGCUUUUGCCAGGGAAGAAUAAGGGGCGUGCGCGCCCCGACGACGGUACCUGGUGAAUAAGCACCGGCUAACUCCGUGCCAGCAGCCGCGGUAAUACGGAGGGUGCAAGCGUUGUCCGGAUUUAUUGGGUUUAAAGGGUGCGUAGGCGGCGCGUUAAGUCCGGGGUGAAAGCCCGUUGCUCAACAACGGAACUGCCCCGGAAACUGGCGCGCUUGAGUCCAGACGAGGGCGGCGGAAUGGAAGCUGUAGCGGUGAAAUGCAUAGAUAGCUUCCAGAACCCCGAUUGCGAAGGCAGCUGCCUAGACUGGUACUGACGCUGAGGCACGAAAGCGUGGGGAGCGAACAGG